rnacentral:rRNA from 1 species
GCGGUAAUUCCAGCUCCAAUAGCGUAUAUUAAAGUUGUUGUGGUUAAAAAGCUCGUAGUUGGAUCUCAACAGCCUUGAAGCGGUUAACUUUGUAGUUUUACUGCUUUAUAGGCUGUGCUUUUGCUGGAGGUUUAGGGGUGCUCUUGAUCGAGUGUCUCUGGAUGCCAGCAGGUUUACUUUGAAAAAAUUAGAGUGCUCAAAGCAGGCUAAAAUGCCUGAAUAUUCGUGCAUGGAAUAAUAGAAUAGGAUGUCGAUCCUAUUUUGUUGGUUUUCGGGACUCGACAUAAUGAUAAAUAGGGACAGUCGGGGGCAUUUGUAUUCAAACGACAGAGGUGAAAUUCUUGGACCGUUUGAAGACAAACUACUGCGAAAGCAUUUGCCAAGAAUGUUUUCAUUAAUCAAGAACGAAAGUUAGAGGUUCGAAGGCGAUUAGAUACCGCCCUAGUUCUAACCAUAAACGAUGCCAGCUAGCGAUCUGCCUGCGUUUUUACUGUAGACUGGGCAGGAAGCUUCCGGGAAACCAAAGCAUUUGGGUUCCAGGGGAAGUAUGGUUGCAAAGCUGAAACUUAAAGGAAUUGACGGAAGGGCACCACCAGGAGUGGAGCCUGUGGCUUAAUUUGACUCAACACGGGAAAUCUCACCAGGCCCGGACACUGGAAGGAUUGACAGAUUGAUAGCUCUUUCUUGAUUCGGUGGGUGGUGGUGCAUGGCCGUUCUUAGUUGGUGGAGUGAUUUGUCUGGUUAAUUCCGAUAACGAACGAGACUCUGUCCUGCUAAAUAGUUUCUACUUCUCUUUUGAGUAGAAAUUUCUUCUUAGAGGGACUGGUGACUCUUAGUCACACGAGAUUGAGCAAUAACAGGUCUGUGAU